rnacentral:rRNA from 1 species
CGUCAGGAUAAAACGACUGGCGGCGCGACGUAAGACAUGCAAGUCGUAACGAACUUAACCCUUUAGUUUUACAUUGGGUAGGCGGUUAGUGGCGGACGUGGUGAGUAACACGUAAGACGAACCUAGCCUAUUAGAGGGGAAGUAACAGUGAGAAAUCAUUGCUAAUACCGCAUAUGCUCACAGUAUCACAUGAUACAGUGAGGAAAGGAGCAAUCCACUAAUAGAUGGGCUUGCGUCUGAUUAGCUAGUUGGUGGGGUAACGGCCUACCAAGGCGACGAUCAGUAGCCGGACUGAGAGGUUGAACGGCCACAUUGGGACUGAGAUACGGCCCAGACUCCUACGGGAGGCAGCAGUCGGGAAUAUUGCGCAAUGGAGGAAACUCUGACGCAGUGACGCCGCGUAUAGGAAGAAGGUUUUCGGAUUGUAAACUAUUGUCGUUAGGGAAGAUAAAAGACAGUACCCAAGGAGGAAGCUCCGGCUAACUAUGUG